UCCGAAGUGGUCCAAUGGCUAGGAUAUGUCGCUCUCACCGUCAUGGCCGGGGUUCGAUUCCCCGCUUCGGAA
rfam:Sistotremastrum suecicum HHB10207 ss-3 unplaced genomic scaffold SISSTscaffold_139, whole genome shotgun sequence.